rnacentral:rRNA from 1 species
AACCUCUGCAAUGCCUGAAAGGGUGACAGGGGGACGCCGAGUGCUCACGCUCUCGCGUGGGCUUUUGCCGAUGGUAAGCACAUCGGCGAAUAAGGGGUGGGCAAGACCGGUGCCAGCCGCCGCGGUAACACCGGCGCCCCGAGUGGGGACCGCUCUUAUUGGGCCUAAAGCAUCCGUAGCCGGCCCGGUAAAUCUUCUGUGAAAUCGGCCAGCUCAACUGGUCGGCGUGCAGAAGACACUGCCGGGCUAGGGACCGGGAGACGCUGGAGGUAUUCCCUGGGUACCGGUAAAAUGGGAUAAUCCAGGGAGGACCACCUGUGGCGAAGGCGUCCAGCGGGA